UACGGGGGGGGCAAGCGUUGUUCGGAAUUACUGGGCGUAAAGGGCGCGUAGGCGGUUUGCUAAGUUGAAUGUGAAAACUCUGGGCUUAACCCAGAGCCUGCAUUCAAUACUGGCAGGCUAGAGUUCUGGAGGGGAUAGCGGAAUUCCUGGUGUAGCGGUGAAAUGCGCAGAUAUCAGGAGGAACACCGGUGGCGAAGGCGGGUCUCUGGGCCGAUACUGACGCUGAGGAGCGAAAGCGUGGGGAGCGAACAGG
rnacentral:rRNA from 1 species